CUUAUUUUUCAUUCCGCCUCCUUAUUUUUCAAUCACUCUCUGUCUAUCUCAAACUCUCUGUCUCUCUCAAGCUUCAAGAAAAUCCUCCCCCAUAGUGACGAAUGAGGCUGUGCAAAAGGCUGUUGCUGCUCUGAAGGGCUCUGACCACGGCCGACCCACAAAUAAAUGGCAAGUGGAAACUCAAACAAAGGUGCUAUGUUGCCGCCUAGGCCGCCUAAGCAUUGAGCUUGAGAACUUGGAAGAUUUUAUUUGUCCCAAGACAUGAAAUGAUGAAACGUUGGAAGAUUUUAUGUCAAAUGUAGAUGUGUAAAAUUGAUUUCAUACUUGUAGGUUUUCAUGUGGAUGACUUU